rnacentral:rRNA from 1 species
AUUGAACGCUGGCGGCACGCUUUACACAUGCAAGUCGAACGGUAACAGGUUAAGCUGACGAGUGGCGAACGGGUGAGUAAUGCAUCGGAACGUGCCCGGUCGUGGGGGAUAACGCAGCGAAAGCUGCGCUAAUACCGCAUACGAUCUGAGGAUGAAAGCGGGGGACCGUAAGGCCUCGCGCGAUCGGAGCGGCCGAUGUCAGAUUAGGUAGUUGGUGGGGUAAAGGCUCACCAAGCCAACGAUCUGUAGCUGGUCUGAGAGGACGACCAGCCACACUGGGACUGAGACACGGCCUAGACUCCUACGGGAGGCAGCAGUGGGGAAUUUUGGACAAUGGGCGAAAGCCUGAUCCAGCAAUGCCGUGUGCAGGAAGAAGGCCUUCGGGUUGUAAACUGCUUUUGUACGGAGCGAAAAGGUCUCCUCUAAUACAGGGGGCUCAUGACGGUACCGUAAGAAUAAGCACCGGCUAACUACGUGCCAGCCGCCGCAGUAA